AGUGGCAACUGAGGAGAUGCACAACUGCAUAUGAAAAUUCCGAUUGGAUGGAAUGUUGAUUGACAUUGGCUUUGCCCAGUCAAAAUCCAGCCCAGCCCAGCCCAGGUGGAUAACUUCCCUUAAUGAAAAUGAACGUAGCCUAGCGAACGGGUGACGUUGUAGGCCUAUCGUUCAGUAAAUUUGAAAGCAAUUAAGUAACUAAGCUGAAGGAAAAUGAAGAGGAGCUAUCCAUCUGGUAGCGAGAAGAAGAAGAAAAAAGAAGAAGAAGCAAAAAGAAAGAAAGACAGUGGAUCAUUGCUUAAAUUUCUAACAAAACAGACGGAUAAAGUGCCCCUACCAAAUGCUGAUGAAAACCUUCCAGCAACAUCCACAUCCAGUGGGAUAGUGGCCACUCAACCUGUUGGUUGUCAUGAAGAGCAGGAAGAGACACCAGAAGCACAUCGAGCACCCAUUCCAAGUUAUGAUACUGAUGACUUUCCAGCAACAUCCACCUACAGUGGGAUAGUGGCCACUCACCCUGUUGGUUGUCAUGAUGAGCAGGAAGAGACACCAGAGGCAUAUCGAGCACCCAUUCCAUGUUAUGACACUGAUAACUGUGAGUUUAAUAAUUCAAUACAUUUUACUUUAAUUGAUAACAUAUAGCAUGCCCUGUAAAUUCUUUAUCACAAAGUAUACCCUGUUUUUGUUUUUGUUAUCAGUUCCGGCAACGUCCACCACCAACAGGACAGGAAUUACUGUUUUUUUUAUUUUAUUAUACAUUCAUUUUAAUGUAU